CCUACGGGAGGCAGCAGUGGGGAAUAUUGCUCAAUGGGGGAAACCCUGAUGCAGCGACGCCGCGUGAGUGAAGAAGUAUUUAGGUAUGUAAAGUCCUAUUAGCAGAGAAGAAAAUGACGGUAUCUAACUAAUAAGCACCGGCUAACUACGUGCCAGCAGCCGCGGUAAUACGUAGGGUGCAAGCGUUACCCGGAUUCACUGGGCGUAAAGGGUGCGUAGGCGGGGGGAUAAGUCAGAGGUGAAAUCCUGUAGCUUAACUACAGAACUGCCUUUGAAACUGUUAGGCUGGAGUGUAGGAGAGGUAGGUGGAAUGCUUGGUGUAGCGGUAAAAUGCGUAGAGAUCAAGAGGAAUACCGAUUGCGAAGGCGACUUGCUGGACCAUUACUGACGUUGAGGCACGAAAGCGUGGGGAGCAAACAGGAUUAGAUACCCUAGUAGUC
rnacentral:rRNA from 1 species